rnacentral:rRNA from 1 species
GUAUAGCAAUAGCUAAUUGCAUCAACAAUUUGUUGAUGCAAUAUCGACUUUGUCGAAUAAAAUUCUAGGUAGAAAUAUGAUAAUGACAUUAUCUGCCUAUGUGUCUUGACCAAAUUACGUGCCAGCUGUCGCGGUAAUACGUAAAAGACUAGUGUUAUUCAUCUUUAGUAGGUUUAAAGGGUACCUAGACGGUAAAUCAAGCCAUACAAUGGGACUAAUUUACUAGAGUUACUUGUGAGGGGGCUAUAAGGUACUGCUGGUGUACUAGAGAUGAAAUUCUUUGAUACCUCUUUUCGAAAGAAAAAUAACGGCACAGAUAUAGGCGAAAACAUCCCCUUAUGUAAUAACUGACGUUGAAGGACGAAGGCUUUUGAUCGCGAACAGGAUUAGAUACCCUAAUAGUAAAAGCAGAAAAUGAUGAAUGUCAUAGAUUAGACAUAUGAUUUAUUCUAUAAACGAAAGUGUAAGCAUUCCACCUCAAGAGUAAUUUGGCAACAUUGGAACUGAAAUCAUUAGACCGUUUCUGAAACCAGUAGUGAAGUAUGUUGUUUAAUUUGAUAAUCCUCAAAAAACCUUACCACAAUUUGAAUAAAUUUGAAAAAAUAUUUUUAUUUUACAAGCGUUGCACGGCUGUCUUCAGUUAAUGUCGUGAGACUAUGGUUAGUUCCAUUAAAUUAACGUAAACCCUUGCUUUAUUUUAAUAUAAAGUAGUUCUCCACUAGAUUGGAUAAGAUAACAGGGACUAAGACAAGUCAUCAUGGCCUAAAUAUUGUGGGCUAUA